rnacentral:rRNA from 1 species
GGUCUCCGUUGGUGAACCAGCGGAGGGAUCAUUAUCGAGUUAUUCAACUCCCAAACCCUAUGUGAACUUACCACUUGUUGCUUCGGCGCGCGCUUCGGCGCCGCCGAGGACACUUAAACUCUUUGUUUUUAUAAGCAUUUCUGAGUGGCCGAAAGGCAAAAAUACAAAUGAAUCAAAACUUUCAACAACGGAUCUCUUGGUUCUGGCAUCGAUGAAGAACGCAGCGAAAUGCGAUAAGUAAUGUGAAUUGCAGAAUUCAGUGAAUCAUCGAAUCUUUGAACGCACAUUGCGCCCGCCAGCAUUCUGGCGGGCAUGCCUGUUCGAGCGUCAUUUCAACCCUCGAGCCCGACUCUUUUGAGGACGGCUCGGCGUUGGGGGACGGCAGACUCCCCCCGGCAUCUCGCCGGGGACGCCGCCCCCGAAAUCUAGUGGCGGCCCUCCGAGGCGACCUCUGCGUAGUAACUUGUUCUCGCACCGGAAAGCUCAGAGCGGCCACGCCGUAAAACCCCAACUUUUUUCAGGUUGACCUCGAAUCAGGUAGGACUACCCGC